rnacentral:rRNA from 1 species
AUGAACGCUGGCGGCGUGCCUAAUACAUGCAAGUCGAGCGAACAGACGAGGAGCUUGCUCCUCUGACGUUAGCGGCGGACGGGUGAGUAACACGUGGAUAACCUACCUAUAAGACUGGGAUAACUUCGGGAAACCGGAGCUAAUACCGGAUAAUAUAUUGAACCGCAUGGUUCAAUAGUGAAAGACGGUUUUGCUGUCACUUAUAGAUGGAUCCGCGCCGCAUUAGCUAGUUGGUAAGGUAACGGCUUACCAAGGCAACGAUGCGUAGCCGACCUGAGAGGGUGAUCGGCCACACUGGAACUGAGACACGGUCCAGACUCCUACGGGAGGCAGCAGUAGGGAAUCUUCCGCAAUGGGCGAAAGCCUGACGGAGCAACGCCGCGUGAGUGAUGAAGGUCUUCGGAUCGUAAAACUCUGUUAUUAGGGAAGAACAAAUGUGUAAGUAACUAUGCACGUCUUGACGGGACCUAAUCAGAAAGCCACGGCUAACGACG